rnacentral:lncRNA from 1 species
AAAAAACCAUUUAAACAAAUCAUCAAAAUUUUCAAUAUUACAGCAAAUAAAAAUAUAAAGACCAACUAUAUUCUCUUCAUGUAUAAUGUGUUGUGGUAAGAUUCAAAAAAAUUAACUUACUUUACAGUAAAGAAAAAUUAGAUUUUUAAUUCCAAAUUUACAGUAAAAACAUAACAUUUUAUAAAACUAAACAAUUCACAUAAUAGUAUAAAAAUAUAAAAAAAAAAAAAAAUACUAUCCGCGCGUAGCGCGGACAAGGACCUAGUGUCUAUAAAACUCAGUACAUUUCUUUUAGAAUUCAGAGAAUACAGCCCUUGCUUAUUUAAAAUUUUGGUCCAUUUGGCAACGAUAAAGUUGGCCUUACCAAUUCCUUCAAUCAAUUAUGCAAGAUCUGAUAUCUUAUUGACAAUAAUUUUUAUAUUUUUUAUGUUAUAGAUAUAUUUAUUUUGUUUCAUAAUAGUGCGUGUUGUUCCACUAUUAGAUGUACAAAAUUCUCGAGUCUGCUUAUUGAAUUUUGUACUAGCAUUUAG